ensembl:snoRNA
AAUCUCCCAAUCUGCGCGGUUGCACUUGCUUGAAGUAGUGUAAUUGUCGUAAAUGGAGAGAGAAAGAAAACUGAAUUUUAAGAGUAUAACAGAGAGAUCUUCUUAUGGUCUCUCUGUUUCCUCUGAAAUCCUACACUU